GACGGAAAAUUGCGGCGGCGACUGCGUCAGAAGCUGAACCAUCACUAUGGUAGAGCUAAGAAGGUUCUACGAGCGCUUCAGACCAAUCUUACCAACGAAUGACAUACAGAAGUGAUUCGCAAAGAACGUUUCAGGAAACACACAAAAUGUUAAGGUAGAACUUAAAGUGUAAUUCCAGCGUAAAUUGAACUAAGGGUUCACUUAGAUAUUAUCAGCAAUGUUUUAUUAUAACAAGUGUUUGUUUUGCGUUCGGAGGGGGUCGAGCCUGGGGUGUAAUUCAAUGUAGAACCGCCACUGAAUGAAGGGUUGCAACUUGCAAUGGAAACUUUUGGACUAAACACUGCGGCUGCAAGUGCUACACCUGCUAACAUCAAGCAGCCAGUCAACCUCCCUGCUCCUCCACCUACCAACAUCCAGCACCCAGUCAACCUCCCUGCUCCUCCACCUACCAACAUCCAGCACCCAGUCUACCUCCCUGCUCCUCCACCUACCAACAUCAAGCAUCCAGUCAACCUCCCUGCUCCUCCACCUACCAACAUCAAGCAUCCAGUCAACUUCCCUGCUCCUCCACCUACCAACAUCCAGCACCCAGUCAACCUCCCUGCUCCUCCACCUACCAACAUCAAGCAUCAAGUCAACCUCACUGCUCCUCCACCCUCCAGGACGAAGAGGGUUGUAACACCAAGUAACAAAGUGUACUUUUUCUAUGGGGAAUGUGGUUCAGGUUAGGUGGGCAGUAUAUGCCAAGAAGCUGUGCAUGACAUCCAAUACUACCUCAUCGAGUCAUUCGAGUGAUGAUGAGGUUCGUUAUUUCAAACAAAUUUCAAACUGCAUUGAAUCAUUAUUAUAAGCUAAUGAUGUAUGAGUAAUUACUCCUCGAACAAGAUAGUGAAUUAUUUCAGUCAUCAUUCAUGCUGGCUCAGAGUGAAAACGCGUUUGCAUUUC
ensembl:lncRNA